CUGAGCCUGUUCAGUUCUUAUUUGGCUGCCUGUUUUAAAAAUAACCUUUUGUAUAUUUGAAAACAUUCAUCGUCCCAAAUGAUCCCUCAGCUUUUUCCUUUCCAGGCUUCACGACUCCUUUAACCUUUACCUCUAAGUCCCACUCUCCAUUCCUUUAAUCCUUUUGUUAUUCUCCUUGUAGUUCCUUUGGAUUUCCACACCAUUCCCCAUCUCCUCACUUCUCCCACUUGCAACAAAACAGGACGGGGGAGACAAAUACGGACAGGACUAGUUCUUCCUUCACCUCCUGGAUACCUGCCAUGAACGAGUAAUUGAAUGCUUCUGGAUGAGAGACAGAAAAUAAUUCUUCCUGCUUAUGAUGUUGAGGACCUGACAUCGCUUCCUGUGGCUCAGAGGCUCAAAGCGAGCGUGGGGCCCUCCUUACCGCGUCUGAAAGGAACUUUCCCUGUAAACAGGGUGAGUCAAGCGGGUUCUGUUUCCCUGGUGAUCUGAGUGCAGCAACCCUUCUACAAAGCAAAGACCCAGCACGCUCUGUGCAGAAAAUCAAUGAACUCCAUCAGGCAUUUCAACUUUAAUUAUCUGGGUUGUUGUCAACCACAGAAAUCCAAGUGCAAACAGACAACCGCCAUGUUGUUUCGAGGCUCAACCAUCUAACUCCCUAGUGUCAAUACCAUCUAACUCCCGAGUGCCAACAUACGGCUUUUUCAGAGUCAAGGGCUGGAGGUUCAGAGGCGAGAGAAGGGAGGAGGGAAGGGCGGCCAGCCGUGAGGUCCUGCUCUGUGUCCCCAAGGUGCUGAGAGUUGUCACCUGCACAUUCGACCCCAGCCUCCUCUGGGCUGGGAGACCAGCUGGAGUCAGCAGGAGGGCACCCUGCGCCCUGGCCGCAUGCUUCCUGUCCGGCCACCCUCAAGGGCUUCUCCCCGCUGCCCUGAGAGGUGCUAACAGCUCAGUGGGCAGAGCGAAGGCUCUGAUUCAGCCUGGUCUGAUCCUGGCUCCUCUGGUCCCUCGCUCUGAUAACCUUGGGCCGUUCAGGAAACGGUCUACGCCUCUGUGUCCUCACGCUAGUACCCAUCUUGAAGGGUGUAAGGAUUACAGGAGAUGAUCCACGUGAGGGGGCAGCUCAGGGCCGGGCAGCAGAAGUGCUCCGUGCACCACGGCUCUUACGGCCCGUCUGUGGGCCCGGGUCCCAGACACCACCCUUCUCUCGUCCCCGAUCUCUCGGCCUUGCCCUCCUCUGUCCCUCCAGUACCCACGUCUACUCACCGAGCUCUGGCCCCUCCCACUGCUGCAUUCAGCCCGGCCGUCUCCUCCCGGGUGCCGGCGGAGAAGCCAAAGAUUUUGGGGUUGAACUUCUUCAGAAUGUCUUUGAAGAGGGAAGGAGCAGAGAGCACAGGGAGGUCUGAAAGGCUGCCAUUGGGACUAACCCGAGAGGAGAAGUGUGGUUUGUGGAGAGCCCGGGAGCCCAGCAGUGCUGCAGCCUAGCUUGUCAUGGGCUACCCGGGAUCAAGGUCUGCACUGCACGGGAAUCAGCAAGACCUGCUCAAGGCUCCAAGUUUAUUCCAGGGAACUGCUCAAUUCAUCACACGGAUGGAGUCCUUCUGUGUGGGAGUUCUACUGAAAUCAAGAACACGUUUGUGCGCAGAUGACAAAUAUCUGGGGAAGAUGCAAUUAAAAAAAAUUCUAUAGCCGUGAGCACUUUAGAAACAUCUCAGAGAACUGGUGAGCCAGAGACAAGCCCAUCCCAUGCAGAUGAACAGACCCAGGUUGGAAAUGGAGCACUCUCGUCUGUUCCAAGGGAAGAACUGUACUUGGCACCCUAUGCCAGGGCACCCGGAUCCCCUGUGGGUCUUGUUAAAUGCAGAUCCUGAGACAGCAGGACUGGUGUGCUGCCUAAGACUCUGCAUUUCUAACAAGUUCUCAAGUAAUGUUGCUGUUGCCUGUCUGUGGCUAAUUUAAAUAGCAAGGUAUUUUAAAAAAAGAAACAAAUCCCACCACUUUCUAGGCCUGGGUUUUUAACUCUUCCGGCAACAGAAGCAAAGACACAUGAGACUAAGAUCCAAGAGGACAGAACCAGAACCACUGUUUUCACCAGUGUAUACCCAGCACUUUGCACAGUGCCUGCGCCAUUUAGGCAUCCAAUAAAUAUACGCAUGUUAGAUAAAUCAAUCAAUGCCCAACUGACAAGAUGUAGCUGACAUUUCAAUUCUAAUGGAUUUUGUUCGUGGUUGGCCUGGGACACGCCUCUGUUGGGCUAACAUGAGCCUAAGAGAAUUCAGAGAGGCUGGAUGGUGGCAUUACCACAUGGCUUGCAUCCCAGCGCUUAGCACCUAACGGUUCUUCAAUAAUUUCAGGUGAGUUCGUCUCAGUGCUUCAGCUGGCUUAUAAAACGUCUUUCCUCAAUCACUCCUGCUGCUCCCGAAUCCAUUUUCCACACUAGUCAGGGGGUCUUUAAAAAGGUGAAAUAGAUUACAUCACCUUCUCCUAGAACCUCCGACAGUUUCCCACAGUGCUCCACCUGAAGUCCAACCUUCUUUCUUAGGGAUUCAGAUUCUGUGGGAUCGGUCCCUCAAUAAACCCUCUGGUCUCAUGACCUACUCUCUACCUCAUUCACACGCCCACAGCCACACUGACUUCUUUCUCUCAUCAAAUACACCCGACUCAGCCCCACUUCUGAGCCUUUGCACUCCCUGGUCCUGCCUGGGACUCUGGCUCUGGCUCUCCAGAUAGCUGGCGUCUUUUCAUCAUACACAUCCCAGCUCAAAUCUCUCCUCCUCAGAGAGGCCUGACGUGGUCUGCACGGCUCAUCAGAACAUGCCACCCUCCCUGCCCCAUCUCACUUUCCUGCAUCACCUUCCUCAGAGCUG